rnacentral:rRNA from 1 species
UACGUAGGGGGCAAGCGUUGUCCGGAUUUAUUGGGCGUAAAGAGCGUGUAGGCGGUUUGGUAGGUCCGUUGUGAAAACUCGAGGCUCAACCUCGAGACGCCGAUGGAAACCAUCAGACUAGAGUCCGGAAGAGGAGAGUGGAAUUCCUGGUGUAGCGGUGAAAUGCGCAGAUAUCAGGAAGAACACCCGUGGCUAAGGCAGCCUCCUGGGCCAGCACUGACGCUCAUGCACGAAAGCGUGGGGAGCAAACAGG